rnacentral:ncRNA from 1 species
GUGCGGCGACAUCUGAGGUGUAGUAUAGGUGGAAGCGCAGGCACAAAUGAAAUACCACCACUCGGAACGUUGCUUCACUUGUCGAAUGAAGAGACCGAUGGGUUUCGCGUGGUCUGUGGGCUAUGCACCGUCUAGGUUUGGGA